GAUGAACGCUGGCGGCGUGCUUAACACAUGCAAGUCGAACGGAAAGGCUCCUGCUUGCAGGGGUACUCGAGUGGCGAACGGGUGAGUAACACGUGGGUGAUCUGCCCUGCACUUCGGGAUAAGCCUGGGAAACUGGGUCUAAUACCGGAUAGGACGAUGGUUUGGAUGCCAUUGUGGAAAGUUUUUCGGUGUGGGAUGAGCUCGCGGCCUAUCAGCUUGUUGGUGGGGUAAUGGCCUACCAAGGAGUCGACGGGUAGCCGGCCUGAGAGGGUGUACGGCCACAUUGGGACUGAGAUACGGCCCAGACUCCUACGGGAGGCAGCAGUGGGGAAUAUUGCACAAUGGGCGCAAGCCUGAUGCAGCGACGCCGCGUGGGGGAUGAAGGCCUUCGGGUUGUAAACUCCUUUCGCUAGGGACGAAGCGCAAGUGACGGUACCUGGAGAAGAAGCACCGGCUAACUACGUG
rnacentral:rRNA from 1 species